GGGUUGUGAGGUUAAGCGACUAAGCGUACACGGUGGAUGCCCUGGCAGUCAGAGGCGAUGAAGGACGUGCUAAUCUGCGAUAAGCGUCGGUAAGGUGAUAUGAACCGUUAUAACCGGCGAUUUCCGAAUGGGGAAACCCAGUGUGAUUCGUCACACUAUCAUUAACUGAAUCCAUAGGUUAAUGAGGCGAACCGGGGGAACUGAAACAUCUAAGUACCCCGAGGAAAAGAAAUCAACCGAGAUUCCCCCAGUAGCGGCGAGCGAACGGGGAGGAGCCCAGAGCCUGAAUCAGUGUGUGUGUUAGUGGAAGCGUCUGGAAAGGCGCGCGAUACAGGGUGACAGCCCCGUACACAAAAAUGCACAUACUGUGAGCUCGAUGAGUAGGGCGGGACACGUGGUAUCCUGUCUGAAUAUGGGGGGACCAUCCUCCAAGGCUAAAUACUCCUGACUGACCGAUAGUGAACCAGUACCGUGAGGGAAAGGCGAAAAGAACCCCGGCGAGGGGAGUGAAAAAGAACCUGAAACCGUGUACGUACAAGCAGUGGGAGCCUCUUUAUGGGGUGACUGCGUACCUUUUGUAUAAUGGGUCAGCGACUUAUAUUCUGUAGCAAGGUUAACCGAAUAGGGGAGCCGAAGGGAAACCGAGUCUUAACUGGGCGUUAAGUUGCAGGGUAUAGACCCGAAACCCGGUGAUCUAGCCAUGGGCAGGUUGAAGGUUGGGUAACACUAACUGGAGGACCGAACCGACUAAUGUUGAAAAAUUAGCGGAUGACUUGUGGCUGGGGGUGAAAGGCCAAUCAAACCGGGAGAUAGCUGGUUCUCCCCGAAAGCUAUUUAGGUAGCGCCUCGUGAAUUCAUCUCCGGGGGUAGAGCACUGUUUCGGCAAGGGGGUCAUCCCGACUUACCAACCCGAUGCAAACUGCGAAUACCGGAGAAUGUUAUCACGGGAGACACACGGCGGGUGCUAACGUCCGUCGUGAAGAGGGAAACAACCCAGACCGCCAGCUAAGGUCCCAAAGUCAUGGUUAAGUGGGAAACGAUGUGGGAAGGCCCAGACAGCCAGGAUGUUGGCUUAGAAGCAGCCAUCAUUUAAAGAAAGCGUAAUAGCUCACUGGUCGAGUCGGCCUGCGCGGAAGAUGUAACGGGGCUAAACCAUGCACCGAAGCUGCGGCAGCGACACUAAGUGUUGUUGGGUAGGGGAGCGUUCUGUAAGCCUGUGAAGGUGUGUUGUGAGGCAUGCUGGAGGUAUCAGAAGUGCGAAUGCUGACAUAAGUAACGAUAAAGCGGGUGAAAAGCCCGCUCGCCGGAAGACCAAGGGUUCCUGUCCAACGUUAAUCGGGGCAGGGUGAGUCGACCCCUAAGGCGAGGCCGAAAGGCGUAGUCGAUGGGAAACAGGUUAAUAUUCCUGUACUUGGUGUUACUGCGAAGGGGGGACGGAGAAGGCUAUGUUGGCCGGGCGACGGUUGUCCCGGUUUAAGCGUGUAGGCUGGUUUUCCAGGCAAAUCCGGAAAAUCAAGGCUGAGGCGUGAUGACGAGGCACUACGGUGCUGAAGCGACAAAUGCCCUGCUUCCAGGAAAAGCCUCUAAGCAUCAGGUAACAUCAAAUCGUACCCCAAACCGACACAGGUGGUCAGGUAGAGAAUACCAAGGCGCUUGAGAGAACUCGGGUGAAGGAACUAGGCAAAAUGGUGCCGUAACUUCGGGAGAAGGCACGCUGAUAUGUAGGUGAAGCGACUUGCUCGUGGAGCUGAAAUCAGUCGAAGAUACCAGCUGGCUGCAACUGUUUAUUAAAAACACAGCACUGUGCAAACACGAAAGUGGACGUAUACGGUGUGACGCCUGCCCGGUGCCGGAAGGUUAAUUGAUGGGGUUAGCGGUAACGCGAAGCUCUUGAUCGAAGCCCCGGUAAACGGCGGCCGUAACUAUAACGGUCCUAAGGUAGCGAAAUUCCUUGUCGGGUAAGUUCCGACCUGCACGAAUGGCGUAAUGAUGGCCAGGCUGUCUCCACCCGAGACUCAGUGAAAUUGAACUCGCUGUGAAGAUGCAGUGUACCCGCGGCAAGACGGAAAGACCCCGUGAACCUUUACUAUAGCUUGACACUGAACAUUGAGCCUUGAUGUGUAGGAUAGGUGGGAGGCUUUGAAGUGUGGACGCCAGUCUGCAUGGAGCCGACCUUGAAAUACCACCCUUUAAUGUUUGAUGUUCUAACGUUGGCCCCUUAUCGGGGUUGCGGACAGUGUCUGGUGGGUAGUUUGACUGGGGCGGUCUCCUCCUAAAGAGUAACGGAGGAGCACGAAGGUUGGCUAAUCCUGGUCGGACAUCAGGAGGUUAGUGCAAUGGCAUAAGCCAGCUUGACUGCGAGCGUGACGGCGCGAGCAGGUGCGAAAGCAGGUCAUAGUGAUCCGGUGGUUCUGAAUGGAAGGGCCAUCGCUCAACGGAUAAAAGGUACUCCGGGGAUAACAGGCUGAUACCGCCCAAGAGUUCAUAUCGACGGCGGUGUUUGGCACCUCGAUGUCGGCUCAUCACAUCCUGGGGCUGAAGUAGGUCCCAAGGGUAUGGCUGUUCGCCAUUUAAAGUGGUACGCGAGCUGGGUUUAGAACGUCGUGAGACAGUUCGGUCCCUAUCUGCCGUGGGCGCUGGAGAACUGAGGGGGGCUGCUCCUAGUACGAGAGGACCGGAGUGGACGCAUCACUGGUGUUCGGGUUGUCAUGCCAAUGGCACUGCCCGGUAGCUAAAUGCGGAAGAGAUAAGUGCUGAAAGCAUCUAAGCACGAAACUUGCCCCGAGAUGAGUUCUCCCUGACCCUUUAAGGGUCCUGAAGGAACGUUGAAGACGACGACGUUGAUAGGCCGGGUGUGUAAGCGCAGCGAUGCGUUGAGCUAACCGGUACUAAUGAACCGUGAGGCUUAACCUUACAACGCCGAAG
rnacentral:rRNA from 1 species